rnacentral:rRNA from 1 species
AUGGCGUAAUGAGUACGAAGAAAUUGCCAAAAUGCUUGUUGGAUUAGGUAAAAGUUUAAAAUAAAACUGACACCUGAAUCCUGAAACCUGUACCCUGAUUGGGUAGGGGAGCGUUGUGUAAGUCGAUGAAGGUGGAUUGAGAAGUCUGCUGGAGAUAUCACAAGUGCGAAUGCUGACAUAAGUAACGAUAAAACGGGUGAAAAACCCGUUCGCCGGAAGACCAAGGGUUCCUGUCCAACGUUAAUCGGGGCAGGGUGAGUCGGCCCCUAAGGCGAGGCUGAAAAGCGUAGUCGAUGGGAAACGGGUUAAUAUUCCCGUACUUGUAAUUACUGCGAUGUGGGGACGGAGAAGGUUAGGUAAGCAGACGGUUGGAUAUGUCUGUUUAAGCAGGUAGUUGGGGUAGGUAGGCAAAUCCGCUUAUCCAUUAAAACAACGAGAAGUGAUGACGAGGCUCUACGGAGCGGAAGUUACCGAUACCACGCUUCCAGGAAAAGCCACUAAGCUUCAGGUAAUUAUAAACCGUACUGAAAACCGACACAGGUGGUCAGGUAGAGAAUACUCAGGCGCUUGAGAGAACUCGGGUGAAGGAACUAGGCAAAAUGGCACCGUAACUUCGGGAGAAGGUGCGCUUACGGUAGUUGAAGUCCUUAACGGAUGGAGGUGAAGUAAGUCGAAGAGACCAGCUGGCUGCAACUGUUUAUUAAAAACACAGCACUCUGCAAACACGAAAGUGGAGGUAUAGGGUGUGAUGCCUGCCCGGUGCUGGAAGGUUAAUUGAUGGUGUUAUCGUUUGAGAAGCGCCUGAUCGAAGCCCCAGUAAACGGCGGCCGUAACUAUAACGGUCCUAAGGUAGCGAAAUUCCUUGUCGGGUAAGUUCCGACCUGCACGAAUGGCAUAAUGAUGGCCAGGCUGUCUCCACCCGAGACUCAGUGAAAUUGAAAUCGCCGUGAAGAUGCGGUGUACCCGCGGCUAGACGGAAAGACCCCGUGAACCUUUACUAUAGCUUGACACUGAACCUUGAAUUUUGAUGUGUAGGAUAGGUGGGAGACUGUGAAGUUGCAACGCCAGUUGUGAUGGAGUCGUUGUUGAAAUACCACCCUUUAAGGUUUGAUGUUCUAACGAGGCGCCCGGAACGGGUGUUCGGACAGUGUCUGGUGGGUAGUUUGACUGGGGCGGUCUCCUC